rnacentral:rRNA from 1 species
AUUGAACGCUGGCGGCAGGCCUAACACAUGCAAGUCGAACGAGUGGCGGACGGGUGAGUAAUGUCUGGGAAACUGCCCGAUGGAGGGGGAUAACUACUGGUAACGGUAGCUAAUACCGCAUACCAUCGGAUGUGCCCAGAUGGGAUUAGCUAGUAGGUGGGGUAACGGCUCACCUAGGCGACGAUCCCUAGCUGGGCUGAGAGGAUGACCAGCCAAACUGGAACGGAGACACGGUCCAGACUCAUGCGGGGGACAGCAGUGGGGAUUAUUGCACAAUGGGCGAAAGCCUGAUGCAGCCAUGCCGCGUGUAUGAAGAAGGCCUUCGGGUUGUAAAGUACUUUCAGCGAGGAGGCGUUACUCGCAGAAGAAGCACCGGAUAACUCCGUGCCAGCCGCCGCGGUAAUAC